GGCGGCGUGCCUAACACAUGCAAGUCGAGCGAUUCUCUUCGGAGAAGAGCGGCGGACGGGUGAGUAACGCGUGGGUAACCUGCCCUGUACACACGGAUAACAUACCGAAAGGUAUGCUAAUACGAGAUAAUAUGCUUUUAUCGCAUGGUAGAAGUAUCAAAGCUUUUGCGGUACAGGAUGGACCCGCGUCUGAUUAGCUAGUUGGUAAGGUAACGGCUUACCAAGGCGACGAUCAGUAGCCGACCUGAGAGGGUGAUCGGCCACAUUGGAACUGAGACACGGUCCAAACUCCUACGGGAGGCAGCAGUGGGGAAUAUUGCACAAUGGGCGAAAGCCUGAUGCAGCAACGCCGCGUGAGCGAUGAAGGCCUUCGGGUCGUAAAGCUCUGUCCUCAAGGAAGAUAAUGACGGUACUUGAGGAGGAAGCCCCGGCUAACUACGUGCCAGCAGCCGCGGUAAUACGUAGGGGGCUAGCGUUAUCCGGAAUUACUGGGCGUAAAGGGUGCGUAGGUGGUUUCUUAAGUCAGAGGUGAAAGGCUACGGCUCAACCGUAGUAAGCCUUUGAAACUGGGAAACUUGAGUGCAGGAGAGGAGAGUGGAAUUCCUAGUGUAGCGGUGAAAUGCGUAGAUAUUAGGAGGAACACCAGUUGCGAAGGCGGCUCUCUGGACUGUAACUGACACUGAGGCACGAAAGCGUGGGGAGCAAACAGGAUUAGAUACCCUGGUAGUCCACGCCGUAAACGAUGAGUACUAGCUGUCGGAGGUUACCCCCUUCGGUGGCGCAGCUAACGCAUUAAGUACUCCGCCUGGGAAGUACGCUCGCAAGAGUGAAACUCAAAGGAAUUGACGG
rnacentral:rRNA from 1 species